rnacentral:rRNA from 1 species
GAUCCUGGCUCAGGACGAACGCUGGCGGCGUGCCUAAUACAUGCAAGUCGAACGAAACUUUCUUAUACCGAAUGCUUGCAUUCACCGUAAGAAGUUGAGUGGCGGACGGGUGAGUAACACGUGGGUAACCUGCCUAAAAGAAGGGGAUAACACUUGGAAACAGGUGCUAAUACCGUAUAUCUCUAAGGAUCGCAUGAUUCUUAGAUGAAAGAUGGUUCUGCUAUCGCUUUUAGAUGGACCCGCGGCG